rnacentral:misc_RNA from 1 species
AAGUCGUAACAAGGUUUCCGUAGGUGAACCUGCGGAAGGAUCAUUAUCACGUAUCCACGUACAAACCACUGCGAACUGUUGUCCCUUUUGAAGGUGCUGGGUUUGGCGCGAUCAAAAUCUCUUCUGAGUCGUGAUGGAAGGGUGAUUGUUGCCGUGAGGUACUCCGCAAGGGGUCUUCCGCCUGUACCUUCAAGAGUGGUUAUUAUCACGCAAUCUUUAAACUUUUAAACCCCUUUAACCUUUAUGAACUGAAAUUAAGCUUGGUGUAAGAGUCGUGCUUUCGGGCAUGCAUUCUGAUCAAGUCUUUUAUUACGAAACUAAGAACAAUUCUUAACAACGGAUAUCUUGGCUCUGAUAACGAUGAAGAACGCAGC